rnacentral:lncRNA from 1 species
UAGUUGUGGUUUCUUGUUUGAAUUAGGUUCAGUUGAGCAAGAAGAAUGUGAGUGUUGUACUUAGUAUGUCUAGUUUAUUAUUCCUUGAUAUUUGUGUUAGAUCCGGGUUAAGCUCGAGGAACGUGAUUGUUAUCCUUAGUAAGUUAUAGAAUCCUAGUGUUUACUUGUGAUUAUUUCAAUGUCAUGGCAUUAGGUGUUUAACUUGUUACUGUGUGUAAUUGUUUAGUCUUUUCUUAUUUAGUCUUUUCUUAUUCAUCCUUAUAUCCAUUCAGUUGCACCAUGCAUCUCAUUAGGUACGCUAGCUGAGAAUCGUACGAAGCAAAGGACAUGGACCAAAGCAGACCACAAGACGAUGUCGGCCGGUGAAUUGGAAAAAAUGGACAGACUGAACGAGUGCCAAGACAAAGGAUGAUCGUCAAGUGAUCGUCAUCUAACAAACACUAACCUAGUGUUAUUCUAGACAAGCCCCGGUGCAUUCACCUCUUUCCUUAUUGUUUACAAUAUUUUAUCACCUUGAAUGAUGCAUUAGGUGAUAGGAGUUGUGUGAUCAAACAGUUGAUGCAUUUCCUUCCUUAAUUAAACAACCCUAAUAACUGUUUUAUGAAAAUUUAGUGAUGCUUAGCCCUGCUUAUUAAUUUAGGAUUGUUUUUAAAAGAUGAUGUGUAACACGGGAUAUGAGAGUUUGUGAAAUAAAAGGGCUUGUGAUGAUGAAGCCAUUGCGGCCGCGAUGAUUUCAUCAUUCAAUUAGGGUACCUCUCUCAGGUAUCAAGUUUUGGGAAAUAAUAUGAAAUGUAGACCAGACGUUGAGCAGGAAAGUUCACCCGUCUGUGUCGAUUAAAUACCGUUCAAUGUAAGCCUGUUGUGGUGGAGACUUUGCAACUAGCCACAUGCUCCGGUAAGCUUGAACUCUGCUAUUUCAAACGUGAAAAGACAACCGCGCACUAGGCGUGAGAGAUGGUGGGAGUAGCGUGUACCCCUUGGCAAGAGGCUGGAUGGCGGAGUAUUGUGCUCCCGGGUAGCGCGGGCCGGUUCACGUUUGUCACACUCGGAAUUAAGGGACAAAGCCGGGUGCAACUCAUAUAUGCACCAAGGAAGACAACACAUAUAAUAAUAGAGUAUAUAGAGAUAAAUGUCACAAUAUAAUCAGAGUACUUAUUACAUAGCGGAAGUCUUACAAAAUAAAAGAUAAGUAUAAAACGAACUAAAGUCCAUCCUUGGCGCCAUAGAGUCAACUGGGAGACGGCACCUAGAUAAAGUCAAACUCCUCGUUGUCUGGCUCCUCUUGAACCUCCUGUUCUUCUCCUGUGGGGGGUGUGAGACAGCAAGGGUGAGCUCACACAUGUUCAUCGCUCAACAAGUUGUGGGGAAUAAUGUGUAUGAACUCACCAAAGGUGGGAGUUCAUGUGAGGUGUAAGGCUGAUCAAUAAUAGGGGUUAAAGCUGAGCAUUGAUUUUAAUAAGUUGGUGAAAUUUUCUUAGCAGUUACUAAAUGUAGGUAAAUACCAAACCAUAAUAAGAAUAGAACAAAAUUAAUUAAUAAUCACAUGCAAUGCAAAUGACAGAUUGAAUUUAGUUCCAUAGUUUAAUCAUGCGAGAGUCCUGAGCUGCUCUUGACCAUGAGCUCGGCUAGUAUACCAGUUUUACACUCUACAGAGGUUGUACCCUGUACCCACAAGUUAUGUUACCCAUCUGCCAAGGGGUCAUGAAUCCCAUACACCUCUACCAAGGAAGUGAGGCAGGGUAACACUACGAGGCCUUUACAAAGUUCCACUAGCUUCCGAAAACCCGCUACUGUUUCUGGGAAGAGCAAUUGCAAGAAUCCCUCCUCUGACCACCAUCGCAGCAAAAUCAACCCGAGAACCUCCCUGCAUGCCUACUCCCCUACUGCCCUUGCCCAUUUCGGGUAAUGUGGCGGAACUGCCCGAAUUAUUCCAACUUAAGUGUCCAAAUCCCGCCUUAGAGGCUAGACCACACUUAAAUGGGAAUAACCCGUCAAUCCCUCGGAUCUAGUCCGACACGGCCACUGACAGGAUCAAGUACCACAAUCUCACUCGAAGGUGAGUCACAGAGCAAAUACAAUAAAGCAUAAAACCAUACAUGCCACAAUGUUAAAUUAUUACAUCACCAUCAUCAUCAUCGGAGUUUUUGCAAAAGUAUCCAUCAUUGUUCGAAGUGCAGCGGAAUAAAACUAACGGUCAUUAAACAGAGAGAUGGGGAAGCCUGUCCCAUCACUCCUCAUGCUCCUCCUCAGCCGAGGCAGGGUCCCACUCAACAGUCCAACCCGGUGGCAAGGUGGACGGCCAAGUUACCCCAGCAACCAUCUCCUCCAGAGAACCUGUAAAAAUUAUGCCACAAGCAAGGCUGAGUAUACUAAUACUCAGCUAGACUUACCCGGUGUGAGGAGUCUACUCCUCUACCUCUAGACAUGCAGCUGUUUGGCUGUGGGGUUUGGUUGCCAAAAGCACUAGCUGAGUUUCUAAAUCAAGAUUUUAAUUUAGUCAAAGUUAAGUGUGACUCUCUUAAGGCUAAAAGUGGACUAUCUACUCAUACAUGGUAGCAAGCAUUAUUAAAAAUCAACAUCUUAUAUCAACUCAUCAUACUUCCACUUAUUACUCAAUGUAGCAGCAUGGAUCAAGCAGUCUCAUUAGCUGCGAGAAGCAGACGAUUCGAAUCGAGUUUUUAAACCUUGCAAGGUAAACCUAAACACACGACAUGCAGGGGCACUCCGUCCCCACACAUAUCAACCGUCCCCAUCGAUUCCCCGCCAGCAGAGAGGGGCUCACCGCCUUGGCGUACAAUGCCUCACUGACCCCGACUGGCCGUCGUGCAAUGACCGCACUUAUACCCACCAUAACCGGAAUGGGAGACCUCGUCUCAGGUCGCGUGAGGAGGGCAAUCUGCUGCCAGGUUCAAUCAGGUACUAGGCUUACCGAUUUACCAUAUUUCUCGGCAUGUGCUUAGUACGUUCAAACGCUUGACUCACGGUACCACACCUUAAUCCUUAUUCAAAUUUUUAUCCCGUAGACAACCAAUCCCCAUGGAUUGUUGUCCACAACCCAACAUCAUUAUGAUACGAAAGUGGAUACAAUCAAUUUCCUGACCUCGCGCGAGUGCUAGAAAAAUCACUCGACUUCUACCGAGAUUCCUGAUUAAUAAAGCAGCUACUCGACUUAGCAUACUAGUAUUCAUCUCAAUGGGAUUCCUGAGAUCAUGCAACUAGGGUUUCAGUCAACUCCUACACCUAAGUGCACAAUCAAUCCUACAAUCAUUAAGUAUAGUAAAAUAGCAUAAAUAACAGGUUAUGCAUAAAACCGGGGCUUGCCUUCCAAAGCAGUGGCAGGCAGGUCCUCUGGUGCAGGCUCGGGUGCUGGAUCUGGGGCUACCUCCUGAGCAGCUCCUUGCUCCGGCACGAGGAUGUACUCUCCGUCAGCAAGAUUACAGUCUAUCGAAAUGCAAUGAACAUGCAUGUCAUGAUUAUGCAGGAUUUAAGAACAAUAAGCUAAAGAAACUAAGUUAAGAAGUAACCUAGGGUUUUCUUAGUCAUGCUGGGCUGCUAGUGGUAUAUAUAUAGAUACAUAGACUUAUGACCUUUUAAGCUUAGGUUUUCUUUUAGGAUAACAUAGUGGGUUGGUAUUGUCUUUAUAAAUUUCAGUGGACAAAUUAACAAAGGUCUUAGGAUGACAUUAAUUUCCAUUAUUCAUUUUCCUUUCCUUAAUUUCCAUUUAGGGUUUCUAGGGUAGGGUUGAACUACAACAGGGUUUUAAUAAUUUCCAAAAAUUCUGUAAAAAUUCCAGUGGGUCAUCACUGGCUAUUCUAGCUUGUUUUAAGAAUUUGAGGCUUAAAGUAUAAAAGUUAGGCUUUAAACAAAAAUAACAAAAGUUAGGCAAAAUGGGCCACUUCACACUACACCUCUUAGUUAGGGGUAGGUUCUGCCCUAAAGGUUAUUUUUGUUGGCAUCCUAUGGUAAUAAUAGGUUUCUAUGCUAAAAAUCACAGAAAACUAAGGGGUGGUUAUUUAGUUAUGAUUUUCUUAAGUUUAAUGCCAAAAAGGCACUUUCUACUACAUUAUUAUUUGAAAAAUGUCAAACAGCAGAUUUCAUAUUUUUCCUAAGUUCUCUCUAAUAAAACAAUAGUCAUCCCAAGGGUGGGGGUGUUUUUACCUUGGGGUCAUUUUUGUAGGGUUUUUCUAAGUUAUCCUUGUUUUAUUAAAACAAAAGAUAUCCUACUUAAUUUGUACUAAACCAGGGUAUGAUAUAUUUUUCCAGUGAACUAUAUUGAAUAAGUAACCUAACAAAAAUAGAAGUACUCUCUGGUUCAUUAAUUAAGUUGCAUUUUCUAUUUUCCUUAUCCUUAAGCAUAUUAUAGAAUAAAGGGUAAAACUAACUUAAAUGGAGUGGACAGAGGGGUUUAACAUUUUUACUUGGUCUAGUAGGUAGAUAUAAGCUUCUCAAAAUUUUUCUAACCCUGGUCAAACAAUAUUCCUAUUUUUCCUCCUAAUAUUGGGUUUUGAGUGGUUUUCUUAUUUAAUUCUAAACUUCAGAAAGAAAUACAGAAGCUAUGGGUUCUAUUAUUUUUCUCUGAUAGCUCAUAAAUUCCUGAAUCUAGCAAAAUUGGUUUGAACAUUUUUGGAUGAUUAUUCUGCAAGUUAUGCAUUUACUUAGCUAUCUGUUAUAACAAAAGAAAAGAAAUUCGAAAAUGGAAAAAGAAAACAUGUUUACGCCGAGGCCCCUGGGGUUUUUCCUUUUCUUUUCUCACAGAACAGCCCUUGGUCCACUAUUGGCUUGAGUCACUAACAUUGCGCAAAGCCCCCUGGACUUAACUAAAAUCUAACCCGCGCUCCCUGACCGGCUCAAACAGUGCCCGCGGUACAGUUUACGGCGGUGGGGCUUACCGGCGGCAGUAGAGCUCCGGCGGGGUGGUCAGUGACGUCCGGGAGGUCGCGACGGUCACGCCGAUGUGCGGGUCGGUGUCGGAGGUGGUCGGAGCUACCCUGGCCACGAGCACAGGCGGCGGGGGUCGUCGGCGGCUCCUGCUCCGGCCAAACCACGGCGGCAUAGAUCAAUUAGGGUGCACGAGGAGCUUCACGGGGUGACACAGAGGCCAUACGCGCAAGGAAUUGGAAAACGGUGCAGGGGCUUACCCGGUCCACGCGCGCCGGCGGGUUCUUGAACUCCGGUGAGCACGAUUGGGCUAUUCCGGUGACGCGGGUCCCUGGGUCAAGCUUGAGCAAGACUCACGGCUUCACCAGGAAGCUCUCUGAGGGCUUGGAUCGAACGGAGGAGGACGGGAGAGGGGCUGGCCACGGUGGUUGCUCUCGGGCGGCACUGGCGGGUCGCGGGGAGGUCGCCAGAGUUAAUGGCUGGCUCGGGCGAGUCCGGCGAGGUACGGAGGAGGUAACGGGGAAGGCAGCCAAGCACUGGGGUGGGCUUUAUAGCCGUGGCGCGGGCGUGGUCACGGGCGGCCGCGGGUGCGCGGGGGUUCACACACGGGCGUGCUCUAAGCGCGCCCCCGGAUGCCAGCUUGCGUCGAACACGUGGAAGAUCGCUUCUGCCAUGGUUCAACGGCCGAUUAGAGUGCCAUAGCGUGCGCAUCUUGGCAAAGUCACUGUGUACGGUCGCUUCUCUGCUCCAAAUCCUAUCUUUUCGCUGUGAGUUCCAAGUCGAGAUAUGGUCGGGGUAGGGAGAUAGAGAGGGGAGAAGUUUGCUGUGUCAGCCAAGCCCGAAUCGAGACAAAAGGGGUGACAAGUCGUGUCUAGCACCCUAGGGUAGGUGUCAUCUCUUUCCAGGGUGUUCUAGGGUUAAUUUGGCGCCAUUUUGUCAAUUGGGUCGAAGGGUUUUGAAAAGGGGAUUAAGGUGAACAUGUGGAGUCUUUGUGCAAGGGUUAGUUUUUGUACUUAGGCAAAAACUGAAUUUUUUCCCUUGUGCUAAAUCAUAGGUGAACUGUUUAGGGCUUUUCUGCAAACUUUUUGGGGGUACUUCCUUACUAUGAAUUGUAGGUUAUCAAGUGUUUUACAACUUUUAUAUUUGGCCCAAACCAUGAUCAUAAGGUUUACAUGAUCUUUUGAUCAUGGCUUCAAUUAGGGUUCCCAUUGCCUAUGGGGGUUUUGCUUUAGGGUUUUGGGAGAUCCCCACUUAGAUGUGCAUGGUAAGCUAGGGCAUGACAUCCAAGGUGGAUUACACUUGCUUAGGACCUAGAAUUCUAAGUUUGGUAUACUUUGCCCAAAUCAAUCUUCAUGUGAUAAUGGGUAAAAGGGGGGUAACCCUGGGAUGGACACCCUGAGUAACACCUGGGGUGUUACAGCCCUCCCCCCUUAAAGGAAUCUCGUCCCGAGAUUUAGGUAGAGUCCCUUGGAGGGGUGCUUGAAGGUGUGAUGGGGGUGUUUUUCCUUUACACUUAAGUUUCUCUUGUUAACUGCUCUUCGAAUGUCAUCCUCUUUGCAACUUCAGAAGGAAGCCCUUCUUAAGUUAAAUCCACAACUUAGACUAUCCUUGUUAUCUAAGUUUUUCUUAUAAUUGGAUUCAAAGGGCAGGUGGGGGUGGGGUUCGGGGGUUACGUACCGACUCCUUUGGGUAGAAAGUCGGGGAAGCGAGAGCGUAGAAAAUCCUCAGUCUCCCAUGUAGCUUCUUCUGCUGAAUGGUGACUCCAUUGAAUCUUAUACAUUCUGACCGACCUUGCCCGAGUUGAUCUUUCCUUUUGAUCUAGCACCUUGACGGGGUACUCUUGGUAGGAUAAAUCUGGUUCUAUCUCAAUGUCUCGUUCCGGGAGUACUUCAGUGGGUAGACGAACGCAUUUCCACAGCUGAGAUACAUGGAACACAUUAUGAACUGCUGACAUGUGAGGUGGUAAUUCCACUUGAUAAGCUACGGGUCCACAAGCCUCCUUGAUCUCGUAGGGUCCAAUAUAGCGAGGAGCUAACUUGCCCUUGAUCCCGAAUCUCUGAACACCCUUGGUGGGUGAUACCUUAAGAUAGACAUGAUCUCCCACCUCAAACUGUAGAGGCUUCCGCCUCUUAUCAUGAUAGCUCCUUUGCCUGGCCUGAGCAGCUUCUAAGUUCUUGGUAAUGACCCUGACCUUUGCCUCUGCCUCGAGUACCAAGUCUGGCCCAAAAAUUUCCCUUUCUCCUGCUUGAGACCAAUUUAGUGGGGUCCUACACCUUCUCCCAUAUAAUGCCUCAAAAGGUGCCAUCUUCAGACUGGAUUGAUAGCUGUUACUGUAAGAAAACUCUGCCAAAGACAGACACUUGUCCCAAUCCUUCCCAUAAUGUAGUGCACAUGCUCACAACAUGUCUUCCAAAAUCUGAUUCACCCUUUCUGUUUGGCCGUCUGUUUGAGGGUGAUAUGCUGAGCUUCGGAUGACAUGGGUCCCAAGUGACUCUUGCAAUUUCUCCCAAAAUCGUGCCACAAAUGGUGCUCCUCUGUCAGAUAUAAUGGUCUUGGGAAUACCAUGCAACCUUACUAUUUGAUCAACAUAAAUUUCAGCGUACUUCUCUGCCCUGUGGGUGGUAUGCACUGGCAAGAAAUGAGCAGUCUUGGUCAACCUGUCCACGAUAACCCAAAUUGAAUCAUGGUGCCUGGAGGUAUUGGGUAAUCCUACUAUGAAGUCCAUGCAAAUGUCCUCCCAUUUCCAAGAUGGUAUGGGAAGGGGUUGCAAAGGGCCUGCUGCCUUCAAGUGACUGGCCUUUAUCCUCUGGCAAGUAUCACACUCGGAUAUGUACUUGGCAAUUUCCCUUUUCAUUCUAGUCCACCAAUAUAGAGAUCUGAGAUCAUGAUACAUCUUGUUGCUACCAGGGUGCAUGGAGAAUUUUGAAAGGUGAGCUUCAUCUAGUAUCUUCUUUCUAAACUCAGGGUCCUUGGGAACAACCAAUCGAUCUCCAAACCAUAGAAUUCCCUUGCUAUCCUGUCGGAAACACUUGUAUUUUUCUGCUUUUUGCUUGAUCAUUUCUUUGAUAACCUGAACACCCUUAUCCUCAACCUGUGCCCUGAUUAUCUGUUCUUGCAAUGUGGGUUCCACCGAGAUAUAGCUUAGGUUACCUGAAGAAACAACUUCCAGGUUCAGCUUGCACAACUCAUCACACAGGGUGGUCACUCCCACAUCCAUGCUCAUACAAUUACACUGGGCCUUUCUGCUUAAGGCAUCUGCCACAACAUUGGCCUUCCCUGGGUGGUAAUGCACUUCCAGAUCAUAGUCCUUGAUUAACUCCAACCAUCUCCUUUGCCUCAUGUUCAGAUCUGCCUGAGUGAAAAUGUAUUUGAGACUCUUGUGAUCAGUGUAGAUGUUAAAGUGAGCUCCCAUCAAGUAGUGUCUCCAUAUCUUCAGAGCAUGAACUACAGCUGCCAAUUCCAGAUCAUGUGUAGGGUAGUUCUGCUCAUGGGGCCUGAGUGCCCGGGAAGCAUAAGCAAUCACUCUGUUCUCUUGCAUCAAGACACAUCCCAAACCAGUACCAGAAGCAUCACAAUAAACUUCAAACGGCUUGGUGUUGUCAGGUUGGGCCAGCACUGGGGCUAUUGUCAAAUGCUGUCUCAAGGUAUGAAAGGCAUCUUCACACUUUUGGCUCCACUCAAAUUUGACUCCCUUCUUCAACAGUUCAGUCAUUGGCUUGGCAAUUCUGGAGAAGUCCGGAAUAAAUCGUCGAUAAUACCCUGCCAAUCCCAGAAAACUCCGAAUCUGCUUCACUGUAGUCGGGGGUUUCCAUUCCAUUACCUCUUGUACUUUCUCAGGAUCCACUGAUAUCCCAUCCUGAGAAAUUGUGUGACCCAAGAAUUUAAUCUCCUUCAGCCAAAACUCACACUUAGACAACUUAGCAUAAAGAUGAUGAUCGCGCAGCCGCUGAAGCACGAUGUGCAGGUGCUCAAUAUGUUCGUCUUCAUUCUUGGAAUAGAUCAGAAUAUCGUCAAUGAAAACGACCACGAACUUAUCUAAUUCUGGCAUGAACACUGAAUUCAUCAGGUACAUGAAAUAAGCCGGGGCAUUGGUCAGCCCAAAAGACAUCACCAGAAACUCAUACAGCCCAUAUCUGGUAGAGAAAGCCGUCUUGGGAAUAUCGCUGGCACGGAUCUUUAUUUGAUGGUAUCAUGAGCGAAGGUCUAUUUUGGAGAAUACCUUGGCUCCUACCAACUGAUCAAACAGAACAUCAAUGCGGGGCAGUGGGUAUUUGUUCUUGAUAGUCACCGCAUUGAGAGGGCGGUAAUCAACACACAUCCUCAAACUCUCAUCCUUUUUCUUCACAAAUAAUGCUGGACAUCCCCAUGGUGAAGUGCUGGGACGAAUAAACCCCUUGUCCAACAACUCUUGCAAUUGCUUCUUCAAUUCUGCCAAUUCCGCGGGAGGCAUCCUAUAGGGUCUCUUGGAGAUCGGAGCAGUCCCGGGUUGCAACUCAAUUGCGAACUCAAUGUCUCGGUCAGGUGGCAUCCCUGGUAAUUCUUCCGGAAACACAUCCGGGUAGUCACAGACUACUGGGAUCUCUUUCACUGGGGACUCUAACAUAACAAAGGCACAAGAUCGGGUACAACCCUGGUUGGGUAAAUACAAAACAGUCUCGCCAUAAGCAGGGGAAUGGAUUUCAAUGGCUCUGGCUGCAAUGUCCAAUACUGCCUGAUGCCUGGUCAACCAGUCAGCUCCCAAAAUAAUAUCCACGCUAUCCAAUCCUAAGAUGAGAAGGGUGGUUCUAAUCACCAGACUACCAAAUUUUAUAGGCACUUGCCUGUUGAUUUGAUAAGUGGCAACUCUGCCUCCUGGUGUUGAAAUUGUAAUGCCCCCAUCGGUAUGGUGAAAGGGCAACUGGCAUUUGGCACUAAACUUGGCACUGAUAAAACUAUGCGAUGCACCCGAAUCAAAUAAAACAAUAGCAGGAUAAUUCAAUACUGUAAAGAUACCAUUCAUGACGGGUGCUCCCUCUGGAAUGUCAGCCAUGGUGGUGAAGUUCAGCCUGCCUUGCCUUACUUGCACCUUCUGCCUCUUCCCCUGGUUCUGAGUAGCAUUCUGCCCCUGCCUCUACUGGUUCCUGGGGCAAUUCUUGGCAUAAUGCCUAGUGUUGCCACAAGUGAAGCACCUGUUGUCGUUCGCCUGGCGGUACUGCUGCUGCUGAUUAUUCCUCUGAGCUGGAAACUGGUUGCGGUUGGGUGCCUGCUGCUGCUGCUGCUGCUGAGGUCGGAUUACCCAUCGCCCUUGCUGCUGCUGGGGUCCCCUGCCCUGGGUGUCGGACACAAUUCUGAAGCGCUGUGGCUGAGCUGAAGGUCCUGCCACAGGGGUCUUCCUCUUCUUCUCUGCCUGCCUAGCUGUAAUGCAGUCCUCUUGGGAGAUAGCCAUGUAGACCAACUCAUUGUAGCUGUUGGCCCUGACGGUGUUGAGACGAUCCCGGAGCUUAGUGCUGAGCCCCCUUCUGAAUCUGUCCCUCUUCUUCUCAUCUGUAUCUGCAUGAUAUCCCGCGUACUGGCACAAGUCAUUAAAGGCCUGGGCAUACUGCAACACUGUCCUGUUGCCCUGAGUGAGUGCCAAGAACUCAUUGAGCUUCCUGUCCAUGAUCCCGGCUGGUAUAUGGUGUCCUCUAAAAGCUGCCUUGAACUCCCUCCACUCCACCUCUCGGUCCUCUGGCUGCAUAGCAAGAAAAUGAUCCCACCAAGUCCUUGCAGGUCCGCGAAGCUGCUGGGUGGCGAACCUGACUUUGGUGACUUCUGAGCAAACUCCAUGGAGCAGUGGGAAUUUGGAUUCCACCACUCGCAGCCACACAUCUGCGUCAAGUGGGUCCUCUGCCCUUGUGAACAGUGGAGGCUGGGUGCUGAGGAAUUCCUGAUAGGUGGCCGCCGCGGGGUGACGCUGGUGGUCUCCACCACCAUAAUGCUGGGGUGGUGGCUGACGUUGAGCCAGCUGCCUCAGGAUCUCAUUCUGCUGAGCCAUGAGCUCCUGCAGAGUGGGAGGUGGGGGCGGCGGUGGAACGUGCUCGUUCUGGCCACGACGCUGCCUCCCGGCCAUCUGAAAAACCACAUACAUACUUAACACCACAGUUCCGAAUUUCAAGAUUUUUAUCACGGGGACAAAGUUAAAACAGCAUGAUAAUUUCCGACUUCAACAAAAGGGAUUUUAAGAGGCAUAAAUUCUUCCUUCCAAAUUUAAACUGAUAAAAGCAUCCAUCAACCAAGCUCCCAAGAAAGUUUAACACGAUUACAUCAAAUUGUUCCAAAAUGACUCAACUCUACCUAGCCUAGUACCCCAAGGGUGCAAAAGCUAAGCUAGCUGCGAGGAGUCCGACUAUCCAACUUCUAAGCCUAUCCUGAACACCUAGUGAGCGAACGAAGCGACACUCGACUCGGGGGAAGGUGGUCUUCCCGAGCCAGCAGUGUCCACACUGGAGGCAGGAUCAUCUCCUCCCUCAAUGUCAACGUCCUCGUUGGCCUCCUAGUCCUGGAUCUCCUGGUGAUGCAUGUCCAGGUGCUCGUUAGCCUCAGCAAGCUGUUGCUGAGUGUUAAUGAGCUGAUCCUCUAGGACCUCGAUGGUGUUCUCCCUGGUGCCCACCAGCUCCUCCAACUCCUGAAUAUCAGUGGAUAGCUGCUCCACCUGCAAGUCCUUCUCCACCAUCUCUUGAGACAAGUCAACCACGAGCUCCUCUCUGUUAUCCAGCGUGAUCUUUGUUGCCUCUAGCAGUGCCAUCAGAUGGGACAUUGCUUCACCGCGCAUCACUUGCAGACGGUACAGAGCAUUCAUGCACCGUACUGUCAAGUGCGCAGUCUGACCUGGGUAGAUGGCCCAGAUAUCCUUGGCAUGCUCCACCCGAUCCUUCCAUAUUGGGUCGUCCUCCUUCUCAGCGGGGAACAAGCCAAUGGGGUGGGUAGCCAGCUCCAAGGGAUGGAAUCCGCAGAAGGUAGUCAAUCCAUGCAGAGCGAUCGCCUCGAUCGUGUCCUCUGCCCGGUACCCGAAAGACUCUGAGUCCAAGGAGCGCCAGCCUGGCUGCAGGGGAUGAGGCUCCAAAGUCAUCCUCACCCUACAGCGGGGCACCCGGUGCUUCUCGAACUGCUGCACCGCGUACUGAGGGGGUGUCGUGUAUCCAGCCCCCUGAAGUACCUCCCACAAAAUGCGGGGAAAACCCUCUCGUGCAAGCCCGUCAGUGUGGGUCAGUGCAUCCCCGUUAUCGGAGGAUCCGUGGGAAGUCAUCUGUGUACGGUUAAGCGUAAGUAAAAGGAAAAAGAAUUAUAAAAAAAAUAAGGAAAAGUAAAACUCAGCCUGUCUCUAGUUAAGUAGAAAGGCACUAGGGACCUAAUUGGUUGUUAUCUUAUUUUUAAGUCCUUUACUCAGUUAUCCAUUUGCUUAAUUAUGAAUGCAUGCAUGCUCAUCCUGAACGGCCUCACAACAAGAUAAAAGGAAUAGGGAGGAACUCCCAUCCUGUAAAAGUGGCCUGUAGGGCCUAGUUACUUAGCCACCUAGCUACCCUUCUCUUAUCCUAAGGCUUCACGUCCUAGGUCUAUCCUGCUCGCCCUACUAUCUAUCCAACCUUGUUUCUAUCCAGUUUUUAUUUAGAAAAUUGAUGGUAUUUACAUUUUAUUGAUUCCUCUGUGGUGGUACAAGCUCCGAUACCAGCUGUGGCGGAAUUGCCCGAAUUAUUCCAACUUAAGUGUCCAAAUCCCGCCUUAGAGGCUAGACCACACUUAAAUGGGAAUAACCCGUCAAUCCCUCGGAUCUAGUCCGACACGGCCACUGACAGGAUCAAGUACCACAAUCUCACUCGAAGGUGAGUCACAGAGCAAAUACAAUAAAGCAUAAAACCAUACAUGCCACAAUGUUAAAUUAUUACAUCACCAUCAUCAUCAUCGGAGUUUUUGCAAAAGUAUCCAUCAUUGUUCGAAGUGCAGCGGAAUAAAACUAACGGUCAUUAAACAGAGAGAUGGGGAAGCCUGUCCCAUCACUCCUCAUGCUCCUCCUCAGCCGAGGCAGGGUCCCACUCAACAGCCCAACCUGGUGGCAAGGUGGACGGCCAAGUUACCCCAGCAACCAUCUCCUCCAGAGAACCUGUAAAAAUUAUGCCACAAGCAAGGCUGAGUAUACUAAUACUCAGCUAGACUUACCCGGUGUGAGGAGUCUACUCCUCUACCUCUAGACAUGCAGCUGUUUGGCUGUGGGGUUUGGUUGCCAAAAGCACUAGCUGAGUUUCUAAAUCAAGAUUUUAAUUUAGUCAAAGUUAAGUGUGACUCUCUUAAGGCUAAAAGUGGACUAUCUACUCAUACAUGGUAGCAAGCAUUAUUAAAAAUCAACAUCUUAUAUCAACUCAUCAUACUUCCACUUAUUACUCAAUGUAGCAGCAUGGAUCAAGCAGUCUCAUUAGCUGCGAGAAGCAGACGAUUCGAAUCGAGUUUUUAAACCUUGCAAGGUAAACCUAAACACACGACAUGCAGGGGCACUCCGUCCCCACACAUAUCAACCGUCCCCAUCGAUUCCCUGCCAGCAGAGAGGGGCUCACCGCCUUGGCGUACAAUGCCUCACUGACCCCGACUGGCCGUCGUGCAAUGACCGCACUUGUACCCACCAUAACCGGAAUGGGAGACCUCGUCUCAGGUCGCGUGAGGAGGGCAAUCUGCUGCCAGGUUCAAUCAGGUACUAGGCUUACCGAUUUACCAUAUUUCUCGGCAUGUGCUUAGUACGUUCAAACGCUUGACUUACAGUACCACACCUUAAUCCUUAUUCAAAUUUUUAUCCCGUAGACAACAGAUCCCCAUGGAUUGUUGUCCACAACCCAACAUCAUUAUGAUACGAAAGUGGAUACAAUCAAUUUCCUGACCUCGCGCGAGUGCUAGAAAAAUCACUCGACUUCUACCGAGAUUCCUGAUUAAUAAAGCAGCUACUCGACUUAGCAUACUAGUAUUCAUCUCAAUAGGAUUCCUGAGAUCAUGCAACUAGGGUUUCAGUCAACUCCUACACCUAAGUGAACAAUCAAUCCUACAAUCAUUAAGUAUAGUAAAAUAGCAUAAAUAACAGGUUAUGCAUAAAACCGGGGCUUGCCUUCCAAAGCAGUGGCAGGCAGGUCCUCUGGUGCAGGCUCGGGUGCUGGAUCUGGGCUACCUCUUGAGCAGCUCCUUGCUCCGGCACGAGGAUGUACUCUCCAUCAGCAAGAUUACAGUCUAUCAAAAUGCAAUGAACAUGCAUGUCAUGAUUAUGCAGGAUUUAAGAACAAUAAGCUAAAGAAACUAAGUUAAGAAGUAACCUAGGGUUUUCUUAGUCAUGCUGGGCUGCUAGUGGUAUAUAUAUAGAUACAUAGACUUAUGACCUUUUAAGCUUAGGUUUUCUUUUAGGAUAACAUAGUGGGUUGGUAUUGUCUUUAUAGAUUUCAGUGGACAAAUUAACAAAGGUCUUAGGAUGACAUUAAUUUCCAUUAUUCAUUUUCCUUUCCUUAAUUUCCAUUUAGGGUUUCUAGGGUAGGGUUGAACUACAACAGGGUUUUAAUAAUUUCCAAAAAUUCUGUAAAAAUUCCAGUGGGUCAUCACUGGCUAUUCUAGCUUGUUUUAAGAAUUUGAGGCUUAAAGUAUAAAAGUUAGGCUUUAAACAAAAAUAACAAAAGUUAGGCAAAAUGGGCCACUUCACACUACACCUCUUAGUUAGGGGUAGGUUCUGCCCUAAAGGUUAUUUUUGUUGGCAUCCUAUGGUAAUAAUAGGUUUCUGUGCUAAAAAUCACAGAAAACUAAGGGGUGGUUAUUUAGUUAUGAUUUUCUUAAGUUUAAUGCCAAAAAGGCACUUUCUACUACAUUAUUAUUUGAAAAUGUCAAACAGCAGAUUUUAUAUUUUUCCUAAGUUCUCUCUAAUAAAACAAUAGUCAUCCCAAGGGUGGGGGUGUUUUUACCUUGGGGUCAUUUUUGUAGGGUUUUUCUAAGUUAUCCUUGUUUUAUUAAAACAAAAGAUAUCCUACUUAAUUUGUACUAAACCAUGGUAUGAUAUAUUUUUCCAGUGAACUAUAUUGAAUAAGUAACCUAACAAAAAUAGAAGUACUCUCUGGUUCAUUAAUUAAGUUGCAUUUUCUAUUUUCCUUAUCCUUAAGCAUAUUAUAGAAUAAAGGGUAAAACUAACUUAAAUGGAGUGGACAGAGGGGUUUAACAUUUUUACUUGGUCUAGUAGGUAGAUAUAAGCUUCUCAAAAUUUUUCUAACCCUGGUCAAACAAUAUUCCUAUUUUCCUCCUAAUAUUGGGUUUUGAGUGGUUUUCUUAUUUAAUUCUAAACUUCAGAAAGAAAUACAGAAGCUAUGGGUUCUAUUAUUUUUCUCUGAUAGCUCAUAAAUUCCUGAAUCUAGCAAAAUUGGUUUGAACAUUUUUGGAUGAUUAUUCUGCAAGUUAUGCAUUUACUUAGCUAUCUGUUAUAACAAAAGAAAAGAAAUUCGAAAAUGGAAAAAGAAAACAUGUUUACGCCGAGGCCCCUGGGGUUUUUCCUUUUCUUUUCUCACAGAACAGCCCUUGGUCCACUAUUGGCUUGAGUCACUGACAUUGCGCAAAGCCCCCUGGACUUAACUAAAAUCUAACCCGCGCUCCCUGACCGGCUCAAACAGUGCCCGCGGUACAGUUUGCGGCGGUGGGGCUUACCGGCGGCAGUAGAGCUCCGGCGGGGUGGUCAGUGACGUCCGGGAGGUCGCGACGGUCACGCCGAUGUGCGGGUCGGUGUCGGAGGUGGUCGGAGCUACCCUGGCCACGAGCACAGGCGGCGGGGGUCGUCGGCGGCUCCUGCUCCGGCCAAACCACGGCGGCAUAGAUCAAUUAGGGUGCACGAGGAGCUUCACGGGGUGACACAGAGGCCAUACGCGCAAGGAAUUGGAAAACGGUGCAGGGGCUUACCCGGUCCACGCGCGCCGGCGGGUUCUUGAACUCCGGUGAGCACGAUUGGGCUAUUCCGGUGACGCGGGUCCCUGGGUCAAGCUUGAGCAAGACUCACGGCUUCACCAGGAAGCUCUCUGAGGGCUUGGAUCGAAUGGAGGAGGACGGGAGAGGGGCUGGCCACGGUGGUUGCUCUCGGGCGGCACUGGCGGGUCGCGGGGAGGUCGCCGGAGUUAAUGGCUGGCUCGGGCGAGUCCGGCGAGGUACGGAGGAGGUAACGGGGAAGGCAGCCAAGCACUGGGGCGGGCUUUAUAGCCGUGGCACGGGCGUGGUAACGGGCGGCCGCGGGUGCGCGGGGGUUCCCGCACGGGCGUGCUCUGAGCGCGCCCCCGGAUGCCAGCUUGCGUCGAACACGUGGAAGAUCGCUUCUGCCAUGGUUCAACGGCCGAUUAGAGUGCCAUAGCGUGCGCAUCUUGGCAAAGUCACUGUGUACGGUCGCUUCUCUGCUCCAAAUCCUAUCUUUUCGCUGUGAGUUCCAAGUCGAGAUAUGGUCGGGGUAGGGAGAUAGAGAGGGGAGAAGUUUGCUGUGUCAGCCAAGCCCGAAUCGAGACAAAAGGGGUGACAAGUCGUGUCUAGCGCCCUAGGGUAGGUGUCAUCUCUUUCCAGGGUGUUCUAGGGUUAAUUUGGCGCCAUUUUGUCAAUUGGGUCGAAGGGUUUUGAAAAGGGGAUUAAGGUGAACAUGUGGAGUCUUUGUGCAAGGGUUAGUUUUUGUACUUAGGCAAAAACUGAAUUUUUUCCCUUGUGCUAAAUCAUAGGUGAACUGUUUAGGGCUUUUCUGCAAACUUUUUGGGGGUACUUCCUUACUAUGAAUUGUAGGUUAUCAAGUGUUUUACAACUUUUAUAUUUGGCCCAAACCAUGAUCAUAAGGUUUACAUGAUCUUUUGAUCAUGGCUUCAAUUAGGGUUCCCAUUGCCUAUGGGGGUUUUGCUUUAGGGUUUUGGGAGAUCCCCACUUAGAUGUGCAUGGUAAGCUAGGGCAUGACAUCCAAGGUGGAUUACACUUGCUUAGGACCUAGAAUUCCCAAGUUUGGUAUACUUUGCCCAAAUCAAUCUUCAUGUGAUAAUGGGUAAAAGGGGGGUAACCCUGGGAUGGACACCCUGAGUAACACCUGGGGUGUUACAGGUAAGGUAGUCUUCCACUAGCUUUCCUAAUUAGUCAGCCAAGGGCGUCGCAUUCCAUCCUUGUGGUGGCACGUGUUUCUCAAGUUAAGCUCCAUGUUCCAAUUAAAGAUAAUGAUCUUGACAUGAACAUUAAUAAAAUAAUAAAACAAUUGGAACAUGGAUAUAAUUAAAUAUUAACCCAAAACCAUAUAAAGCAAUAGCAAACUACCCAAAUGAUUCAGGGGUAAACAAGGUAAAAGAUAAUAAGACUAGGGCAACUUAUUGGGUCCCAUCAAAAUUAAACCUAUGCAUGAUUACAUGAUUAUAAAGAAAAUUAUUGGGUAAUAAAUGUGGUCUAGGGCACAACUUGCCUUCAAUGAGCUCCUGCUCAGCAACUUCUACCUGCUGAACACCGGGAUCCUUAGCCAUUGGCUCUUCUACUCGCCAUAAUACAAACAAGCAUAGUAUAAAAGAGAAAUUAACAUCACACCAAAGAUGUAAACAAAAUACAUAUUAAUAAUCUACACAUUAAAAUAAGACUAUAGGAAAAAGAAUCAUUAAAAUUGGAGUUAUGGAUUUUAAGUUAUGAAUUUUUGAAGGUUUUAUAUAUUUGAUACAAGAUUAAUUAGGAGAUCAAUUUUUAUGUGGCUUUCAUGUCAAAAUAGUGGCACUAAUUGAUAAACAAAAAUAUUACAAAAUUAUAGGAACUAGAAUGGAUCAAUUUGGACUUAAUAUGAAUUUUCUAUGAAUUAAACAAGUUCUAGUGAUUAUUUUUACAUUAAAAAUCAUUUUUGUUAUUAAUUAUCAAAUUCCUCUGGUCUCUGGACUGCGCCUCAAAAACUGAGAAGUGCAGGUGCCCUAGCGCAAUAAAUUGCAAUACUCAGAAUGACUCUGUCAUGGACCGCGGGUUGUUUACUAAUAAGUUCAGGGUCUAUUUAGUAAGGUGGCCUGCCGAAGGGGUAUCGUGGAUUUACGACUGUCCGAUUCUAAACCAACGGAUUAGAUUUGAUCGUCGCGAUAUAUAACGUGUAACCCACCUCGAUCGUUCGAUCCCGCAUCAACGACAGAGAGGCGGCCAAGCUCUGACUGGACCAGAGCCGCACAUCACCGAAUCAACGUCUCUGAUCAAAUCUCGUGAAGGGGGGGUAUGCGGCACAACAUCUCUACCGCCGGUCAUCGAUCCAACGACCUUGCGCUAUCGCUCUCCCCCGACGCCGCCCAACGGUGGCGCCACCAACUCAAGCGGUGGCGUGCUCGCUGGCGCGAGUGAAUCCAGUGCCCGAGUCACAAUCCCGGGCCCCCGCGACUUCCACGCGAUGCCCAAACCCACCCGAACGCACUGGCCUAACAAUCACCGGGAUUCGCGCAACACCGGCGCACACCCACGGCGAGCAGCGGCCGUCGCCGGCGAGUCGUUGCUACCCUCAAUCCAGCGCGCGUUCUCAAGCGUAAUUUAAUAUCUACACGUCGAUCAUAUAACGGGGAUCGGUAGGGGAGUCCUCACCGGGGUUUGACUACGCUGAUGGCAACACCACGGCGGAUUGCGGCUCCGAGUAGGUGUCCUACGACGGCGAGCAAUCGUCGAUCACCCAACUCCGAUUCUGCACGACACUGUGGCUCACCCGAACGGUGAAGACUCCGCAGCUUCCCUUCCGGUCACCCACUGGAAACGAGGAGCCACACACAGCUGACCGUUGGCGGCGGUGGCGCGGCUUGAUUUCGUUCCCUCCCUGACGGCGCCUGGCGCGAGGUUGCGGAAGAAGGAAGAAGAGGAAGAGGUAAGGAACGGCGGACGCUGGGUCUUAUACCCAGGAAGGAUAGGUUUUGCACAAGGUUCGCAGUGAUCGUGGCACCGCAAGCUCCGUCGAGGUCUUCGCGAGGAAGUUGAGGAUGGAACUGACGGGGAGGGUCCACCCAACAGCGAGCGUACGAUGAGGCAGUCAUAGGUAAGUGGGUCCGGCGCAUCAGUCAAAGGUUGCGCACAACGAGCGAUUGACCGGGAUGGUCCACCAGUCAACGAAACGGGGAGUAAGAAGUGCGCGCGGAGUGGCUGUCGCGGUGGUCCCACGUGGUCAGCGCGCGCGGGCGUGAGUUGGUGGGCCGGGAGCUACACUUUGGGCCCAAGGUCGAUCUGCAGGUCUGUUCUCCUUUAUUCUUUUUCUGGUUUUUCUUUCUCGUUUUAUUUUAAAUUUCCAAUUUAAACUUCAAAUAUACAUGUGAAUUUUGUACUCAAUUAAAGGUAGAUUUUAAUCUUAUCAGUAUGGAUAGAGUUUAUAUUUUUAUAAAUUUUGUUUUGUAUUUUAUAGUAUUUCUUUUCUUCCUUCCUCCACAUUUUAAUUUCCUAAUUUAGGUUUAAAUACCUAUUUCACCAUUUGUAUAUUCCUAGUAUCAAUAUUUUAUUUUUAAUGCACAAUCAAAUAAACUCCAACAUGAUGCAUUAGGUAUAUAUUUAUUCUAAUUAAUUUAUUUGUUUGAGAAAUGUUUGAAAUAUGAAGCUCUCUCAUAUUGUUCCUUUCUUUUUAGAAAAAUAGUAUUUUGAUUGUGGGAUAGGAAUUGAAGUUACUUCAAAAUUAAAUAUUCAUGUAAAUGAUUGCUUAUGGUGCAUCAUUUAAUGAAAUGCAUAAGCAUUUAGUUGAAUAGAAAAAUUUUCUAUUACUCCUUUUCUAAAAUAAUUCUUGGUUUCCAAAAUUGAGUCCUCAAUUUUCAACACUCAAGUAUAAUUUGAGAUAUCUAAAUUUACUAUUUUAUUUCUUCUUGUUUUUAUUUUAUUAUUAUUAUUAUUAUAUACAAAUUUUGGGUCUUACAAAUCCUACCCCCUUAAUAGAAAUCUCGUCCUCGAGAUUUGUAAGAAAAGGGUGUAUAACCAUGUUACCUCAGAACAUAUGCACAAACAAAAUCUCAGCAUGAUGCAUAAUUUAUUAGCAACACAUAGGGUCAAUUAGACUUUAUUAUUCCUCCUAAAAUAGUAUCAUACCAACUACUAACUAAAGUAACACUAAGAUCUUACAAAUAGUAAUAUAUAUAUAUAUAUAUAUAUAUAUAUAUAUAUAUAUAUAUAUAUAUAGCUUGGUGGAGCUGGUGGUGGUGGCGGAGGUAGUGGUUGUUGUUGUUGUUGUCUUUCCAACCACGCUUGCCUCAUUUCUUGACGCAUCUCCAGCCGGUCCUGACGUAUUUCCUAGCAUUCUUGCCUUAUCUGAUUUUGCAUUUCGUUAAUCAUGUUUGUCAUUUGUUGUAGCACCAGCAUUUGGGCGGCAACCACUGGAUCUAUUCCACCUGGUGGAGGAUUUGGAGGAUUCAUUUCUAUUUGUUGUUCCUUAUAAUCCUCCCUUCCUGGUAUUGACCAUCAGAGUUAGAAGCAUAUGGUAAAAUAGUUUUUGCAAGGGAAAUUAUUUGGUAGGCAAAACGAAUAGGCUAGUAGCUGGUUAUGAACUGAAGAUUCUUUGGCGGGGCUUAAUCUGUUGUUUUAUGUCAAAGUUGGGAUAGCUAGUUGUAUAAGGUGAAUGCCCAAUUGUAAGAUAGAAUCUGCCAAGAUGAGAUAGACAUGGGUGAGAUAGACUACAUGAUGUAGGUCAAAAUCUUGUUUGAUGUUAGGUGGGGAUAGUCAGAUUAUGCAAUUCAUCAUGACUCUACUGGUUGAGUUAAAUCUUUUUGCUCUUGGUUGAGUUGGUCUAAUGUGCUAAGUUAAGUUAACACCUGGCUAGUAGGGUCUAAUCUGUUCUACCAGUCUCACUAAUCUGUUUAAGUAGAUCACAUUAGAUUAGAUCACAUUAGAUUAGAUCACACUAGAUUCUAUAAUCCUAUUUAAGGAUACCAUUUAGUUGAGCAUAUCAAGCUGACUUUAUCUUCAUGAAAUUCUACUAUCCUUUCUUUAUCUAAGUGGAACUUCCAAUUAGUAUUUUUUAUAUACCUAAAAUUUUCAUGUCGAUAGUAGGUGUGGCAUAGAAAACAGGGGUAUAUCAGGUUUUAGCUAUUAGGUGAGUGUAGAGAAGAUUUGGGGGUAAAAUAAAGUUGAGUAAUGAAGAUUUUUUUAUUCCGGGUGGUGGAUCUUGAUUCAUCUGAAGAUCUGUUUCUAUCUCAUAUCCUUCGUUGUCGAGGUUUAGCUACUUCUUGAUUUAGUGACCAUCGAUUGUGGUGUUAGAUGCCAUUAUCCGAGUUCGGAUAUCAAUUGCGAGUAUAUGGGGUAGGUAGGUUAAACAAAGUUUUACUUUGCUUUUGAGAUAAAUGGGUUGGGCAACCUAUCACAUAGGCUAGGUCGUGGUUUCACGGACGAGUUGGUCUAAGACACCAAUUUAGGUUUAAAACCCAUUUAUAGGAAUAUGGUCUAAUCUAUAUUACCAGUGUUGACUGACUUGUUUAAGUAAUUCCCUUUAGAUUAGAUCAUAUUAGAUUAGGUAGGGUCUAGAUUAGACUGGAUAUACCUAGAUUAGACUAGUUUAAGUUAGAUAGAUCUACCAGGGUAGAAUAUAUAUUAUUAGGAUAUGUUAGAAUCUUUUGAGAUAUGGUGGCUUAUAUGGUGCAGGUAGGUCAGAAUCUUUGUUAGGUUAAAAUAGAGGGGUUAUGCAACCAUCGGUUGGUUAAGGUAGUUGUCUAAGGCCGAGUUGGUCGGUCAUUCUUAACUUAGUGCAGAGUGAAUUAAGUUAAAACAUAUUUUAUAGGAGUAGAGACUAAUCCAUAUUAUCAGUAUUAACUUUCAUGUUAAGCAACCUACAUUAGAUCAGCUCAACUUGAGGUUAGCCUUCGUUAUGUUAGAUUAAUCUAUCACAUUAGAUCAGAUUCAAGUAUGACUAGCUUCGAUUAGACAAGAUCCAAUUAAUUUGGGUUAGAUCAUGAUCAUGGUGGGAUAAAUCAUGUGGUUUUAGUCACACAAAUAUAACUUAGAUCUGAUAUCAUUAUUUUGGAUUAGAUCCUGGUUGUACUUUAGGAUGAGAUAAGUAAAGUGGUUAGGAUAAGAUGAUUCCUUCAAGAUAAGAUGAAUCUAUUAAGAUAAGAGAGAAACUUUUAAGAUAAAAUUGAUCUAUUAAACUAGAUAUAUUUUUUAAUGGGGAAUAUUCUGUGUUGUCUAUUUUAUAAAUAUUUUCCCUUAUGUCUAGGUGUAUAUGCAGAUGCAAUUGUGGACAUUACUCCACAAUCCAUCACACUCAAUCAAAGAUCCAAAUCAGACAUGUAUCACAAGAACAAAAAUUCAAGCAUACAAAUGUUUACGAAAAUAGUUUUGAAUUUGUUCCUAAGAGUAGAUCUCCUAUUCCUAAAGGUCACUUUAGGUAUGGGAUUUCGAAGUGUGAAAUCCACAUCUGUCUUUAGAAGGAAAAGGUAAGAAUAAUCAGAGUAAAGCGGAAAUAGAUGAGAAAAGAUUAAGAAAAGUUUAGAAAGAAUCAGAGUAGCAAAGAUAAGUAAGUAUUGGUUAUCCAGUUCUAUCUAGGUUUCGUCCUACAGUCAACAUUCCUCUGAUACCACUUCUGUCACACCCGGAUUUAAGGGACAAAGCCGAGUGCAUCUCAUAUAUGCGCCAAGGAAGACAACACAUAUAAUAACAGAGUUUAUAGAGAUAAUUGUCACAAUAUAAUCAGAGUACUUAUUACAUAUCGGAAGUCUUACAAAAUAAAAGAUAAGUAUAAAACAAACUAAAUCCAUCCUUGGUGCCAUAGAGUCAACUGGGAGACGCCACCUAGAUCAAGUCAAACUCCUCGUUGUGUGGCUCCUCUUGAACCACCUGUUCUUCUCCUGUGGGGGGGUGUGUGAGAUAGCAAGGGUGAGCUCACAGGUGUUCAUCGCUCAACAAGUUGUGGGGAAUAAUGUGUAUGAACUCACCAAAGGUGGGAGUUCAUGUGAGGUGUAAGGCUGAUCAAUAAUAGGGGUUAAAGCUGAGCAUUGCUUUUAAUAAGUUGGUCAAAUUUUAUUAGCAGUUACUACAUGUAAGUAAAUACCAAUCCAUAAUAAGAAUAGAAAAAAAAAUAAUAAAUAAUCCCAUGCAAUGCAAUUGACAAAUUGAAUUUAGUUCCAUAGUUUAAUCAUGCGAGUGUCCUGAGCUGCUCUUGACCAUGAGCUCGGCUAGUAUACCAGUUUUACACUCUACAGAGGUUGUACCCUGUACCCACAAGUCAUGUUACCCAUCUGCCAAGGGGUCAUGAAUCCCAUACACCUCUACCAAGGAAGCGAGGCAGGGUAACACUGCGAGGCCUUUACAAAGUUCCACUAGCUUCUGAAAACCUGCUACUGUUUCUGGGAAGAGCAAUUGCAAGAAACCCUCGACUGACCGCCAUCUCAGCAAAAUCAACCCGAGAACCUCCCUGCCUGCCUACUCCCCUACUGCCCUUGCCCCUUUAGGGUAAGGUAGUCUUCCACUAGCUUUCCUAAUUAGUCAGCCAAGGGCGUCCCAUUUCACCCUUGUGGUGGCACGUGUUUCUCAAGUUAAGCUCCAUGUUCCAAUUAAAGAUAAUUAUCUUGACAUGAACAUAAAUAAAAUAACAAAAUAAUUGGAACAUGGAUAUAAUAAAAUAUUAACCCAAAACCAUAUAAAGCAAUAGCAAACUACCCAAAUGAUUCAGGGGUAAACAAGGUAAAAGAUAAUUAGACUAGGGCAACCUAUUGGGUCCCAUCAAAAUUAAACAUAUGCAUGAAUACAUGAUUAUAAAGAACAUUAUUGGGUAAUAAAUGUGGUCAAGGACACAACUUGCCUUCAAUGAGCUCCUGCUCAGCAACUUCUACCUGCUGAACACCGGGAUCCUCAGCCACUGGAUCUUCUACUCGCCACAAUACAAACAAGCAUAGUAUAAAGGAGAAAUUAACAUCACACUAAACAUGUAAACAAAAUACAUAUUAAUAAUCUACACAUUAAAAUAAGACUAUAGAAAAAGAAUCAUUAAAUUUGGAGUUAUGGAUUUUAAGUUAUGAAUUUCUGAAGGUUUUAAAUAUUUGAUACAAGAUUAAUUAGGGGGUCAAUUUUAAUGUGGCUUUCAUGUCAAAAUAGUGGCACUAAUUGAUAAACAAUAAUAUUACAAAAUUAGAGGAACAGGAAUGGAUCAAUUUGGACUUAAUAUGAAUUUUCUAUGAAUUAAACAAGUUCUAGUGAUUAUUUUUACAUUAAAAAUCAAUAUCUGUUAUUAAUUAUCAAAUUCCUCUGGUCUCUGGACUGUGCCUCAAAAACUGAGAAGUGCAGGGGCCUAAGCGUGAUAAAUCCCAAGACUCAGGAUGACUCUGUCAUGGACCAUGGGUUGUUUACUAAUAAGUUCAGGGUCUAUUUAGUAAGGUGGCCUGCCGAAUGGGGUAUCGUGGAUUUACGGUCGUCCGAUUCUAAACGAACGGAUCAGAUUAGAUCGUCGCGAUAUAUAACGUGUAACCCGCCCUGAUCGUCCGAUACCGCAUCAACGGCGGAGAGGCGGCCACACUCUGACCAGACCAGAACCGCACAUCACCGAAUCAAUGUCUCUGAUCAAAUCUCGUGAAGGGGGGGGUAUGCGGCACAACAUAUCUACCGUCGGUCAUCGAUCCAACGACCCUGCGCUAUCACUCUCCCCCGACGCAGCCCGCCGGUGGCACCACCAACCCAGACGGUGGCGAGCUCGCCGGCGCGAGUAAAUCCGGCGCCCGAGACACAAUCCCGGGCCCCCGUGACUUCCGUACGAUGCCCAAACCCACCCGAACGCACUGGCCUAACAAUCACCGGGAUCGCGCAACACCGGCGCACACCCACGGCGAGCAGCGGCCGUCGCCAGUGAGCCGUUGCUACCUUCGAUCCAGUGCGCGUUUUCAAGCGUAAUUUAAUAUCUACACUUGGAUCAUAUAACGGGGAUCGGUAGGGGUGUCCUCACCGGGGUUUGACCACGCCGAUGGGGACACCACGGCGGAUUGGGGCUCCGAGAAGGUGUCCUACGACGACGAGCAAUCGCCGAUCACCCAACUCUGAUUCUGCACGACACUGUGGCUCACACGAAUGGUGAAGACUCCACGGCUUCCCUUUCGGUCGCCCACUGGAAACGAGGAGGCACACACAGCUGACCAUUGGCGGCGGCGGCGCAGCUUGAUUUCAUUCCCUCCCUGACGGCGCCUCGCGCGAGGUUGGGGAAGAAGGAAGAAGAGGAAGAGGUAAGGAACAUCGGACGCUGGGUCUUAUACCCAGGAAGGAUAGGUUUUGCACAAGGUUCGCAUUGAUCGUGGCACUGCAAGGUCCACAGAGGUCUUCGCGAGGUAGUUGAGGAUGGAACUGACGGGUAGGGUCCACUCAACAGCUAGCGUACGACGAGGCAGUCACAGGUAAGUGGGUCCGGCGUGUCAGUCAAAGUUUGUGCACGGCGAGCGACUGACCGGGACGGUCCACCAGUCAACGAAACGGGGAGAAAGAAGCGCGCGCGGAGUGGCUGUCGUGGUGGUCCCGCAUGGUCAGCGCGCGCGGGCGUGAGUUUAUGGGCCGGGAGCUACACUUUGGGCCCAAGGUCGAUCUGCAGGUCUGAUCUCCUUUAUUCUUUUUCUGGUUUUUCUUUCUCCUUUUAUUUUAAAUUUCCAAUUUAAACUCCAAAUAUACAUGUGAAUUUUGUACUCAAUUAAAGGCAGAUUUUAAUCUUAUCAGUAUGGAUAGAGUUUACAUUUUUAUAAAUUUUGUUUUGUAUUUUAUAGUAUUUCUUUUCUUCCUUCCUCCACAUUUUAAUUUCCCAGUUUAGGUUUAAAUACCUAUUUCACCAUUUGUAUAUUCCUAGUAUCAAUAUUUUCUUUUUAAUGCACAAUCAAAUAAACUCCAACAUGAUGCAUUAGGUAUAUAUUUAUUCUAAUUAAUUUAUUUGUUUGAUAAAUGUUUGAAAUAUGAAGCUCUCUCAUAUUGUUCCUUUCUUUUUAGAAAAAUAGUAUUUUGAUUGUGGGAUAGGAAUUGAAGUUACUUCAAAAUUAAAUAUUCAUGUAAAUGAUUGCUUAUGGUGCAUCAUUUAAUGAAAUGCAUAAUCAUUUAGUUGAAUAGAAAAUUUUUCUAUUACUCCUUUUCUAAAAUAAUUCUUGAUUUUCAAAAUUGCGUCCACAAUUUUCAACACUCAAGUAUAAUUUGAGAUAUCUAAAUUUACUAUUUUAUUUCUUCUUGUAUUUAUUUUAUUAUUAUUAUUUUUUAUGUACAAAUUUUGGGCCUUACAACGUUGUGGAGGAUCUGUGGGAACGGUUGACAUAUGCAAGGGUUAAGUGCUACAUAUGUCGUGUGGUUAGGGAUCCCCAGCUGGGUAUAAUCGACUCGAAUCAUCGUUGCUCCUCGGUCAUGGAGACUCUAGCCUUCGACCACUCAUCAUAGUUAAUAAGUAAAAUAAGAAUUUGGUAAAAGAAAGCUAGACUAGAACAAGUGAAUGCUCUAGAUUAGGCAAAUCUAGAUUCAGGAAAAGUACUUAACUUGUGAAGUACAUUUUUGGCAUAAGGAUCCACUACUAGUAAACUUUUCUGCAAAAGAGUCUUUGAAUCUUGAUAAGCUUUACCUUGAUUCCCAAAAGCCAGCAUAUCCUUGAGAUUAUUUUUCCUUAGACGGGUAAGACUUGCGAAAGUACACUUCGUACUCAGGGUUUUCGAACCCAUGUUGUUGUAGGUACUAGAUUUAUGCUACUGUUGAUGGUGUUAAGUGCCGGUGGGCUCGGCCUUCUUAUAGGUUAAAGUAGCUCUUCUAUAUUGCUUAUUAAGGAUUGUCAUUGAGCUAGCAUAUAUUUCAAACUAACAAAUAAUUUAUAACAUCUCAAAGUACAUUUCUUUGAAUCACUUUUGUAAUCACUCCGAUAAAUAUAAUGUAAACUUGUUGUAACUCGUAACAUGUUGUAAUAAAGAAUUUCCGCUGCAAAUGUUUGUAUGUGAGUUGUGUUUACUUAAUCUUGUGAUCCUGGUUAUAAGUGGUUUAUCCAGGGUCCUUGGGACACUCGAACGGUUCCUGUUAAGUUAUCCGGUGCACAUGCAUAGCCGUCUGAGGUCUUUGAGACGAGGACAGGUGCAUGUGGGCCCAAUAACUUGGGAGGUUCUGCCACAUCUGGUAUCGGAGCUGGAUUAAGUAUAAUACGUUCACAAAUGUAUUUUCAAAACAAAGUUUUGGUUUUGGAAAACCUAUUUUCUACUAAACACAUUGUUUGGUUUUGAAAAAAAUAGAUUUGAAAAACUAUAAUGCUAGUGACAUCCUCUAUUAAGCCCUAAAUUAAGGACUAUCAGGUGGCUUAGAUCAAAACACUAACCUACAACUGGGUGAUAAUGCAUACAUGUGUAAUGUUAUUUUUUAGGCCAUUUUGUCUUGAAUGGAUCAACACUUAGGUAAGGUGAGAUGUGAGAGCAUGACCGAACAAACGUCAGUCUAGGGGAGAGCAUAAUUGAAGCGCUUGACUAUAUACAUGUUCUACAUAUGUAUAUAUGAAGGUUGCGAUGUAGAGUAUUUACUUUUCUGGGAUUCGGUACCCCAUGUGUGUGUAUGGGUGUACAUGCAUGGGAAUACUGAGAAGUGUAAUGUACUUGUAAUGACGCACCUACACUAAGGUAAGAAGGUGAGCUACCAUAAUGGGCUGCCCUGUGGUUAAAGUGUGGCAGCGGCGCCUAUGCGUGGCUCGGCGCUUAAUGAGGAGCUGACCUCCAUAUAGAAAUAUAUGGAGUAUAAACUGUCAUGUGUGGAUCUUGCAUCAUGGGAAACAGGGCUGUGAUGGAUUUUUUUUCUGCAGGUACACUAACCUCGAAAACAUAUGCUUAGUUGACAAUUAGCAAAAUACCGAGAGAGUCAUAAGUAUGCCACCGAUUUAGAACACUAUUGCCACAAUGGAUUGGCAAAAACUUGUGAGGACGAAUAAGACGAGCAUGCAUCCUGAUUGUUGCAUCAUGUUUGUCACCUAUACAUCCAAAAUGCUUCUCUCAUCUUUAUUCCAGUAACCAGUGAUUGUAGAUAAUGUGGUGUAAGGUUGUAUUAUGAACUCCAAUGAAUUAGUUGUCCUCCAUUCUUUAGGUAAUCUGUUUAGGUAUUAUAUGUGUUAGCUCUUGUUUUUGAUGUGCCGAUAGAAUGUCGAUGACUUGUUUGCCUAAACCCAAAGCCAGGCCAUGUGCUCAUUUAUGACCCAAAUUUGUAUUAAUCUCUAAAUUAUUUAUCCUAGGUCUCAUCUUGUGUGAUGGUAAUUAUUUUCACAAGAUACUUGGUAAGUUUGUAGUUAGACAAAGCCAUAUCCUCAUCAUCUCCAUCCUUGAUGUAAUAUACGAUCUAAUCCAUAGUUUUCUCAUUCUUCCAAAAUUUUCCUCCAAGUCUUCAAGUGUGGAGGGAUUUGAAUUUUCCGUUGUCGCUUCAGGACCAAGCUCAUUUAAAUAGGUGUUUAGGUAAUCUCCUCAUAGACAAUAAAUGCACAUGAGCUUAAGACAAGGAUCUCGAGUACUCGUCAUUUAAUUCGUGAAUCUUCAGUGGUCAUGGCUUCCUCCUAAGCUCCGCCUUGUUUUGGUUGGUGCAAGCUGCUAUUCAUAUUCCAGUUUGCCUCUUCUUGAGGAUCACAUCGUUGCUUUAUCAACCUAACCUAAAAAACAUGCCCAAUCAUUUUCUUGAGUUUGAUGCCUUUGGUUUCCUUAUAUCUAUUGAAGGCAUACCAAUUUAAUCUUAUGAUUGUUUUCUCUCGGUAUCUAAUCAUAUACUAAUCCUUGACAUUGUAAUCUCUGCAAUGGGCAUAGAAAUAUGCUUGGGGCUGAAUUAACAGUCUCUCAUUGUACUCCCUUAUUCAAGUUUAGGUUUUGGCCAUAUCUUGUUCAUUUCAUUGGGCCAUGAUCUAUUUGGCUCUCUACUUGUAACUGUUCUUACAAGUGGAGUAUCUUUUGUAUAUUGUCAUCCUGGCUGAGUCUAUCUGUGCUGCAUGAGAUUUCUUAUUAGUUAUGUCUGGUAAUGGUGUUAUGACUAAAACCGAUGGUGCCGCUACGAAACCGAGGGCCUCCUGUGCCAUCAACACAUGUUUGCACUACUUGGCACGCGCUGGUAUCACAGUUAGUAGUCAUAAUCCAUUUUGAGACUAUAUCGAUAUGUUAUCUCUGCACAAAUUGUUCUUACCACGUGAGAUUCAUUGAUGGUGGCAGUUCGGUAAUGGUGUCACGAUUAAUGACUUAUGGUGCCGCCGUGAAACUGAGAGCCCCUUGUGAAUGUACACACAAGGUUAUGCUUCUUGGCACAUGUUGGUAUCGAGGUCUCUAAUCAUGAUCCAUUAUGGAACUACACUGAUAUGUUAUCUUCCGUAAACCUUUCCCUUGAAAUAAUUUCUAUGUUGUUUGUGAAAUGGUCAAGCAACAUGUGUCAUCUCUAUUGAAUCAUGGAGCAUACUUCUUUAAUGUGCUCUUUAACGAAUUCACUACCAAUUUAGAAAUCACCAAAAAAUCAAAUCAGAACUCAUAUGUGUCUAAUCGUGUGAUAAAAAAACUACCCCUUUUCAUGUGUGGUCUCUUUUCUCUUGACCUUGGUGGUAACUGCACAUCCUUUCGCAUCAUUUGUUGUAAAGGUGAAGCCUUGGCACUUUUUAAGGUUGAGAUACAACUAAUUAGUCCUCAUAAUAAAGAUCAACUCCCCAACUGAAAUGCAGGAGUUUAUUCAUUCGCUUCCUUAUUGGAUUCAUAGAUCUUUUAUGCAUGUUAGUUUGUCUCACGUGGAGGAGAUGGAUGAACAACCUGAUCAAAUGUAUCUUUAUCCAAAUACACGACCUCCUACUCACAAAUGUGAACUCUCAACCUCUGGUUUGCCAAUGGGUAAUAAGAGAACUUGCUCAACAUCAAGAGUAGUUCAACGAGUUGGUUUUACAAACUUGAAACUACAUUGCGAUCAAAGGUUGAGUUUAGAUAUCAUUUUGUCAAGUCAGCUAAACUCAUUCUUAAUUUAAUCGCCUUGAGGAAGCGUUUACAAGAGGUCAAGUCGACGGGUAACCACCUAGUCAUCAUACUAGUCGUGCCUCGAUCACCUUUCAUGUGAUUUUUCCAACAUGUGUGGUUCAGCAGAGUCACACUAGUGCUUAAUGAAGUUGAAUCAUUGUGAAGUCAAUGUUUGUUGAUCACCUUCACUACUGUAUUCGUCGAAUUUCUACCAUCUUUCAUGGACUUGGAUUUUCUAGCUAGCCAUGGGUCAACUGCGAUGUUGUUCGACAUCCACACCUGUUUCGUGUGUUAUGGACAUCCAAGGACGAUUUAUCGACGAAUUUCUUUCGCUGUGCUUUACCCAAGAGGUUGUAUCAAACUUGACUUGGAUAAUUACCAUCCACCUAUCCACUGCUCUUUCCGCGGACUUAGAUAAUAUAGUGUUAUCAGAGGAAUAGAACUGCGUACAUGGAAUCUUACAAGGAUAGUGUGGUACAUGCUGCACCCACUAGAGAAAUAAACAUCUUGAAGUAGUGACCUUUGCUUGGAACUGCCUUAUGUGAUCGCUGAUAUGGACAGGAGUUACAUGCUUCUUUACUCUUAAAAGUCUUUCGCCCCAAAUCUCAGGACGAGAUUCUUUUAAUGGGGAGGGCUGUAACGCCCCAGGUGUUUACCUCCUGCUUGACAACGAUUAUGGGCUUAAGUACGAGUUAUCAACGAGAACAACAGUCUCUAUAUAUUAAUCAUCUUCACCCAUGUCACACCCAGUUUUAGAAGGCAAACCAAAUGUGAACCAUGUACGUGCCAGGAUCAGCAAUUCACGUACACAACAGUUACAUAACCGGACAUCAUCACACAGUGCUCAAAUAAUAACAUAAAAGAGGGUAAUAGUUGAUUACAUCAUGAUGUCCGAGACAUCCACAUAGUCAUUACCAAAUAUCAAAGUGCGAAAAUGAAAUGUAGAUAAACACGGCCUUCACAGGCAGCCGACUGGGGGUUUGCCGCUAACCCACGCCUAGAACUCAUCGUACUCUUGGAUGUCCUGGAGGUCCUCCACCACGACUUCAUCUUCUCCUGAGCAGUGGUUGCAACGUGGACAACCUGGGGGGUUGGUGUGUAAAUCAAGGGUGAGUACACAUCAACAUACUCAGCACUUGUCCUGUUUGGUUGUAGUGGACUAGCUUUAUGUGGGGUUAAGGUUAAGCAAUUGCUUUUAGUUGGUCAGGUAAUUAUUACUAGUAGAGAGCCAGGUUUUAGCAUUAACCCAAGUUGUUAACCCAAAAGUACCCUUUCCAAACGGAAAGAAUACCAGAAACCAUAAUCAAAAUCACAAUAGAAACCAACAUUAUCCUCAUCAUCAUCUGUAAACAAAACAUCUCUUAUCAAUGUGUCUCUAAUCAAUGGAGCUCCCUUGGCCGCUCAUAACCGCGAGCAUAGCUGAUAUAUCAGUUUCAUAACACUCUGCAGAAGUUGCGCACUUUACCCACAAGUCGUGAUUCCCUUUUGCCUCGGGCCGAUCAAACCCUUAAACACUACCAAUGUGAAUAGGCAAGGUUUCACUACGUAGCCUUUACAAAGAUUCCCUGAGGCUAUAGCCACCCGUUAGGUUUCCUAAAUGUACAGCACUCCUCCCCAAGGGGGAAUCCACCCUCGACAGAGCUGGCCGCAUACACCGAGCCCCAUUGACGGCAUGACGGCAAAGCGAACUACACCCCAGUUCCUCUAAUUAUUCAGCUAAGGGCGUCCCAUACCACCCUUAUGGUUGCACUGUUUUCUUGGGCAGUCAUCCAACGAACCAGUCCUUACGGAGAGGCACUCGAGAAACCGCUCGAGUCCCCUUAAAUGUCACAAUAUCAUCAUCAUAAUCAAAAGGGAAAACAACAUAUCAUAAAUAAUCUCAUCAUGUUCAUUGAUUAGUGUGAAGCUCUAGCAUCAAGCUAAACCAAAAUAACCCAACCCACAUAGGUAAACAAGGACAAGAUAAACAAAGCUAGUCAAUCCUUAGGUAUAAAUUGUGUAAACGCGGGGAGUGAAUUAUAAAAUGAGUAGGACAUAGAUGGGUCAAGGGACACUUGCCUUCACCAACCAGCUGCUGCUCAGGGUCUUCACCUGCAACUCUUUCGGACUCCGCCAACUGACCGUUAUCUAUACGAGUUCAAACAUAUAUUCCACAAAUUUAAUAUAAAAAGAACAGUACACCACACAGUAGACUAUAACAAAUAAGCAGACGCUUGGCGCAGGGCUCGCACCUACGACAAAACGAGAAAGAGAAAACAACGGUCGAGGCUACGGUCGAAAGGCGAUUAUGUUAAGCAGUUAUGGAAUAAAGUACUUGUCUAAACAUAACCAUAUUAAUUUUGACAAUCGCGCUAUGCAUAAAAUCAAGUUAAGCUACGCGUUUAAUUAUUAUAAACAAUUCAAGAUAAUUUAAAAGGAAUGUCGCGCGGCGAAACGCACGACGGCACACGCGAACUAAACUGAAAAAUUGGGACAAGUUGCCGUGCGACGAGGCACGCGACAGCACACACGAACUAAGCUGAAAAAUAAAAUGAAUCGUCGCGCGGCGAAGCGCGCGACACAACACUUAGACUAAACUAAAAUUAAACGAAAUGUCGCGAGACGAAGCGCUCAAUGGAACACUUAAAUUAAAUAUGAAAAUAACGUAAAUCGUCACGUGACGAAGCGCACGACGGCAUACAUCACUUAAAAACUGAAUUUAGAAUAAAUUGUCACGCCGACGAAACACGCGACGCAACAUAUUAAAUAAUCUAAAAUUAAAAUGAAUUGUCGCGCGAUGAAGCGCGCGACGCAACAUAUAAAUAAUCUGAAAUUAAAAUCAAUCGUCGCGCGAUGAAGCGCGUGACGCAACUCAUAAAUUAAACUAAAACUAAAACUAAUCAAACUGGAUUUUAAACAUUACACGCUAGGGCUACGCGCGCGGGAACGGGACUGCGCGCACGGAGCGGGGGAGGGCACCAGGGGCACGCGCGGCCAGGGACGCGGCCAGGGGCACGGCCAGGGGCCAGCAGGGGCGCGCUGGGAAGGGAGGAGGAGGGAGAGGAGAGGGGAAGACAGAGGGAGGUGGGAGCUCACCUCGGGGCUCGAGAUCGCGACAACCGCCCACCGGAUCACACCUAGGGAAAAGGAGGUGGAAAAGAGGUGGGAGAGAGGGAGAGGAAGUUGCUGCGCGGGAAAAGAAAAUGAGAGGGAGUGAGAGGGGGCGCGCAUGGGGGGUGGGGGCGCCAGGGGCUGGGCCGGGCCGAAAACCCACUGCACGCACAACCACUAAUCAGAAUCAAAUCACGAAUCAAAAACUGAAACGAGACGGACGCGCGAUUAAACACAACAUCAGACAAAUAAAUAUGCUUCGGCAUGAUGCAACACCCAUGUCAACUUAGGUUUUUGUUUACACGUGAUACGGACACCAGUCACUAUACUGCUUUGAAAUUUGGAAGAAGGGGCAAAACGGGAAGAGAAAAGAGAGUAACACCUGAAUUUGGUGAGUAUCGGAGAAGAAAAAAUUUACCCCUCAAAUUCAGGGCGUUACAAACCAUCAUGAUUUCAAUGUCGUCUGCCUUCGUCUAUCGGGACUGUCCAAAAUAUUUCUCGAAGUUCGGAUUUUAGUAACCUUCAAAAAUGCCGAGUCCGGUGCUGUUCAGAUUGGUCGAGAGCGUGAAUGCGAUUUCAAAAAUAGUUCGAGUUUAUAAUUUCGACCGCGUUAAUGUCCAAGAAAUAUAAGGCGUAGAGUUAUUAAUCGAAUUGCUUUCUAGUCGAAUGUUCGGAUGGCGAGUAAAAAUUGUCUAAAUUUAACCGAGAUGAAUGCAAAUUAAAAUUAAUCGAUUAAUGCGAAUUGGAAAAGUCGACUAAGUAGUUUAAUCUUGUCUGAACGGUUUUAUGGACUUUGUAGCAAAACUCAUUAAUCGUAGGUUGUUAAAUAAACCAAACCCAAACUAACUUAAACUAGAUUAAUUGCUUGCUGAUUCAGUUUCCUAUUUCAAAGUUAGAGAAAAUCAUGCCUGGGGUUAGUAAUUGGAAUUGUUUCUCCUAGCAUGUUAUCCUUGGUGUCAGAUCAAAUGAUCGAUAUCGGGUAAAAUAAAACUGAACCCAACUGGAAUCAACUGUAGUUCAAAAGUAUCGAAACCAAAAUUGUUUUAAUCUGGUCCGUUUACAUCUUGCCCAGAAUAAUCAUAAAAGUUAUCCAAACGAAAUUUAACUAAGACCGUAUGAACCGUUAUUACUCUUAUUCUUCGUUUCAUGAUUGGGAAAAUGAAAUGUGUAGCCCGUAUAGCGCAUCGAUCCAUUAUACAUCGCUAAAAUCCUAAUUCGGAAACCUUGCAAAAGGUGAAGAAAUCAAUUUUUUGCCUUCAACCACUGUACUACUCCUUUGUCUAGAUUAUCCCUUGUAAAUUACAAUUACUGCCCACGGUCCUUAUCUCCACACCAUUUCUUAGUUGAGAAGCCAGUCAGCUCUCUGAAAGCGUGUCCACGCACUCGUUCUCUGGAAAAUUCACAUCGCUUACCAGGUUCUCAGUCUUAUCUCUAUUUCUUGCUUUAUACCAUCGUUGUAAAGGCUCCAAUCUUAUCUCAUGUACGGUGUUUUCAUCUCUAGAAGGUGUUGGCUCCCUGUGAUUUUUUUGAAGCCGCUUUCAGGUCCUUAUUUCCCCACCGCUCAAAACUGAUCUUUUCAUCGUGCGUGACCGUGUGGAGGCACUGUCUCUUCACCAGUGCCUAGCCAUAGUGCUGCUAGAGCUCGUCAGCGCACUCUGCUCCCCUGGCGCUGCUCUAGGUUCAGUCGGCGUCUUCCUCACGUUGCUGGUCAGCAGAGCUCGCCCGACUUUGACCUCUGCCUUGCCCUUGACCCCACUUGCCCGUCCCUGUUCUCGACGCUCGAGCUCACCUCAGCUCCGCUGUGCCCCUAUCAGCGGACGUGCUCGGUCUCGGCCACGUCCCUGCACCCUGUGUUCAGCCUCCUUCCUGCAUCAGCGGACGUGACGGCUGCUGCGAGCACCCCUUCCUUCUCCCCAGCCUCACCGUGGCCAACAGCUUCAAAUCCAUGGGCGAGCCACCCUCUUCACCUUGCUGCGCGCCGGAAGCCUCUCUCUGCUCGAAUCGGUGUGGUGCUCUGGCCAUGCGUCCACUCUACUCGGACCUCGAGUCUCCCUGCUGCCCACAACUGUCACACUAGCCAUCGUGGCGUCGUUAUUUCCUGCUGCGCCGCGACAUCGUCAAGCUCCGGUGCUUAGUGUCGAAGUCGAUGCGCCGUUGUCGCUCUGGCUUCCUUUGUCGUCGCGCGGUGUGUGGCGGUCGUGUCCACCUCCAUGGCAUCAACAUCUGCAUCCCCGGCAUCGUCGUCGUUUUAGCAGCUUGUUGCACCUUGCGUUCGCGCCAGAAGACAAAAGGGAAGCGAGUAUAGGUGCAUCGUCGAUUUCAUGGUUUCAAGUUGGAUUUAGCUUUGGUGAGUUGAUUUAUUAUUUUUGUUAGCUGGUUUGAUGAAUGGCUUGGCUAGGUGUGUUAGUCGUGAUGAUCUUGUGACUAUACUUAGUGUUGUUCAACCAAUCGUUUCAUGCAGUGAGGUGAUUGUGAAGUGGUCGCGUUAGGUGUUGAAGUCUAGAUUUUAAAUAUAGAUUUAUGCAAAGAAUAUUAGUAGAUAUAUAUAUAUGCGAUAUGAUUGUGUUAACGUUUGUGACAUAUUUGCGUCAUAUGAAAUAUAGGUUUAAGAUUCCAUUUAUGGGAAGAGUGCUUCAUUGGGUAUAUAUAUAAUCCGCGUAUAUUUAACUAGAUUUUAUAUGCGUGACAAGUGGUGAUAGUAAGUAUUUGUGAAAUACUUUGUUCAUGUAGUAAUGUGAUAGAAUCCAAUAUUGUUAAAUCGAUGCCUCGUAUCAUGUGUCUAGUAAAUUGCUUCCUUGAUGCUUGCCCAAAGCCUUGUUGGUUAAGAAAUUAAUUAACUUGUUGUCAUCCUUAUUGUAACACCCCGGGAUCCACAAACACCCCAGAAUGCUACUAAACUACACUUCUAACAUUCGUAUAUAAAAUUUCGACAGCAUCUCCUUUGAAAAAUUGCAUAAACGGGAAAGCAACAAAUUAUAAAUAGACAUCAUGAUAAGAAAACAUAAUCGACAUUAAUAAUCAGCUAGCAAUGGGAAGACAAUCAUAACGGCAUGAACUAAAUUAACUAGUGCGCACAACUAGUUAGAAACAAACAUCCUUUGACAUGAAGCUUCUAAUUAAAUCAUGACUGCACCUAAGCAGCGUUAUUAUGAGAGUGAAGGUGGAUGUGCUGCUACUUCCCACUUCUCUGGAUGAGCAACAAGCACCUGCAUUGAGUAAUACAAGAGUGAGAUGAAACAUCUCAGCAAGCAAAUUGUUUUGACGAGAUAUUUAAACCACAAAUUGAAUUAAUCAACAUUUUAAAAGAAUCACAAUUAAGAUCAGAAAUACUUGUAGAUAUAGAACUCAGUAGUCCCAAUAUAACCAAUACCAUCUCAUUUCCUCGAACAACCACAAUAGGUUCAAUAACACUUCCCCGCGUCAACAAAACCUACAAAUAUCACUUCAAUGUAUUCAUAGGAGUGCAAAGUGUAGGUACUCUGUCUUCAUACCUCUGAGGGUAUAAAACCACAUCAUCUGCAAAUAUCACUUCAAUGAAUGCAUAUGAAUGCAAUGCAUAUAUCCUCUGCCUUCAUACCUAUAAGGGUAUGAAGCCGCAUCGUACCCCUCCUCAGGCAACGUACGAUGCUAAGUUGUACCGGUAUGGUCGAACCAUAGGUCACGACCCAACUUCAGAUGCAAGUGAAUCGUGCAAUAUAUAUGGCAUGCUGCAUUUAUCAAUAUACUCCACUUCCUUCACAAGAUCAGUCAGUUAUCUUACUGCCACGGAAAGAUAAUUAUAAAUAUAUAUGGCCACGGAAAGAUCUACAAAUUAUCUACGAUUCAUAUAUAGACUUUUUAUUUUUUUAAGGCCACUAAGACCACGGAAAACUGGCAUGAACAGAAACUGUCGAAUCCGCCAUUCAGCAGAAAUUAAAUUUGAGAUCAAAACCUAACCCCACAUCUAAUCCAACCUCUAAUCCUUCAAUCCACAUGAUCCACAACCUCCAAAAGCACAUAAUUAUAUGGAGGAACAAGGAUCCCAUCCUUACCUAGGGUUUCCCCAAGAAAAUCUGCAAGAGAUGGGGGUAGAACAUCUCCUUGAUCCUCUCUUCCUCUUCAAUCCAUCUUGCUCCUGCUCUUCUCGAUCCUUGCUGCGUGGGGGAAGAUCUAGAGGGAGGAGGAAGCAGUGGAGGGCGGCUGCAAAGGGGAAGGGGGAGGGGCGGCCAAGGGUGGGGAAAGGGGGGGGGGGUUGGCGGCCAAUAAAAGGGAAAAAGGGGGGGCGACCACUAGGGUUUUGUGGAAGAAAGAAACGACGCCUCAGAUGUCUCCUGACUUUGCAUCCAACGGCCCACAACUCUUUCCCUCAUCCACACACCGAAGAUCAACUUUUGGUCAACAUUUUUUUGGGAUAUUACGCUUAUCCUGAUUAUUUGGUGUCUCAAGUUAGUAUGUCAAGAUAUUAUAAUUAGUUGGUAGGAUAUGCAAGUGAGUCUGGAAAAGAAGUUUUGACACUUAAUUAAAUUGCUUCUAUCCAUCAUAUGAAUGUUUGGUGUCCAAAAAUGGCGAGUCUAUGUUUGUUAACCCUUUGGUGUAUAUUCUAGGUAAAGAAAAUAUAGAGAUUAUACAUAGUUGUGGUUUCUUGUUCGAAUUAGGUUCAGUUGAGCAAGAAGAAUGUGAGUGUUGUACUUAGUAUGUCUAGUUUAUUAUUCCUUGAUAUUUGUGUUAGAUCCGGGUUAAGCUGGAGGAACGUGAUUGUUAUCCUUAGUAAGUUAUAGAUUCCUAGUGUUUACUUGUGAUUAUUUCAAUGUCAUGGCAUUAGGUGUUUAACUUGUUACUGUGUGUCAUUGUUUAGUCUUAUCUUUUCAUACUUAUGUCCAUUCUUAUGCACCAUGCAUCUCAUUAGGUAAACUAUCUGAGAAUCGUACGAAGCAAAGGACAUGGACCAAAGCAGACCACAAGACGAUGUCGGCCGGUGAAUUGGAAAAAAAUGGACAGACUGAAUGAGUGCCAAGACAAAGGAUGGUCUUCAAGUGAUUAUCGUCUAACAAACACUAACCUAGUGUUAUUCCAGGCAAGCCCCGGUGCAUUCACCUCUUUCCUUGUUGUUUAAAAAAUUUUAUCACCUUGAAUGAUGCAUUAGGUGAUAGGAGUUGUGUGAUCAAACAGUUGAUGCAUUUCCUUCCUUGAUUAAACAACCCUAAUAACUUUUUUAUGAAAAUUUAGUGAUGCUUAGCCCUGCUUAUUAAUUUAGGAUUGUUUUUAAAAGAUGAUGUGUA